UUUUGCGGGAAAAACCCGUGGUCUGUACUGUACCUUUGAUUACAAACACAAUGAGUUGAUCUACUUUAUAGCAUAUAAGGAAGCGUCUCAAACUCUGUCUUGUUGUUUUGAAGUUGUUUAUUUCGAGUAAUUUCCUUUAUUUUCACAGUUGAAAGCCCAGAUGCGUGAUACUUGAUAAUGGUGUUUCGAACAGCCAGACACAACUCCCUCCUCCUUUCACAGGUGCUUUUGCGAAAAAUAAGCCAAAAUGACUUAUUUGGUCAUUGAACAGUUCAAAAAUAAUUGGGGGCGUGGUUUGCAUAAUUAACCAAAGAACAGUACGGUUCGUUUCUUGCACGGAACGGUACGCUUUGUGAACGGUACAGUACGCUUUGAGCACGGAACGGUACGCUUUGUGGAUGGUACGGUACGCUUUGUGUAUGGAACGGUACGGUUCGUUUCUGAGGUGUAGUAGCACGGUUUAGGGUCUGUAAGAACAUAGUUAUGAUGACCAAGAGUGUCUCUUCAAUAACUGUGAACUUCAUGGCCCUUGGUAUCAACAUAUAUCAGAUGAAAAAAAAUCUUAAAGAAUCUAUGUGACUAUUCCCUGAUUUUGACCUUUUUUGCUUUGUCUUCUGUAGCCUCCAAAGUGAGAAGGUAUACUACCUACAGAAGAACCCCAAUCAGCUCCUGGACAUGCUGGGGAAGCUGUUUGCAUUUUCUUUCAUCUGGAGUAUUGGAGGUAUGUUCAAGCUCCAGGAGGAUGCUGAUGAUUACGACAUGAUCAGGCGGGGCCAGGACAAGGGGGAGAGGGAUGCCAAUAUCUGUAAUGAGUGUGAUAACUUCAUGCAUGAGUUAUUUGAAGUGGAACCACCACUUGGAGAAUCUGGAGUUGGCAAGUCGGCCAUUAUUAACCACAUGUUAGGCAGACUGGGAUAAGAUGGUGCAACAUCCACUAAGAGUGGCACCGUGCUGGGUCAGAUCCUCAGCUACUCAGACAAGACCAACACGCUACUGGAGAGUAUCUCAAAACUCACAGAAAUGGACAACAAUGACUAGUCCAAAUGUAUCAACGUCCUUCUGGGAACGACCAAACCUAAAAGUUCUGCUGGAGUGAUCAGUUUUAUGUUUCAGUUCUCAGCUCAGACGACAGCAGCUAGACUUAAGGCUCACAUCAUGCACAAACUCAUCAAGAAGGGCAGGGACACUGGGGGCUCCCUGGGGGAAAAAGGUGCUGGUGUUUGUGGAUGAUUUGAACAUGCCGGCCGCUGAGGUAUAUGGAGCCCAGCCACCCCUAGAGUUACUGAUGCAGUUCUUGGAACUUGGUGGAUUUUAUCAUGCUGGGAAAGCUCAUCUUGUAUGGGAGGAUAUUUAUGACGUCCAUGUGGUGGCAGCCUGUGGACCACUAGGUGGAGGCAGGAACCCCAUCCGUUCAAGGCUCCUAAAACACUUCAGGUCAGGCAGCUUUCUAACUCUGAAUGUAUAAUAUCUAAAUCCCCUCUAGACCAUCUCUCAGUUUAGAAUUGGUGUUGAAUAUGGAAUAUAAAGUGUUUGUGCAAUAUUUGUAUAUGGUGUAGUGCAUGUUACAGAAAUAUUUGUUUUUAUUAGCUCACCUGAGCCUAAGGCUCAAGUGAGCUUUUCUGAUCAAAAUUUGUUCGUUGUCUGUCAUUGUCGUUGUUGCAGUAAUUGUUGUAAACUUUUCACAUUUUCAUCUUCUUCUCAAGAACCACUGGGCCAAUUUCAACCAACCUUGCUACAAAGUAUCCUUGGGUAAAGGGGAUUCAAAUUUGUUCAGCUGAAUGGCAACACCCUCUUCCAAGGGGAGAUAAUUAUGAAUUAGGAAAAAUUAAUGGCAUUUUUAAAAAAUCUUCUCAAGAACCACUGGGCCAGAAAGGAUGAAACUCAUGUGAAAUCAUCCUCAGGUAGUGUAAAUUUAAGAUUCUUCAAAUCAUGACACUCAGGGUAGGGUGUGGCCACAAUGGGUCAUCAAAGUUUUACAUAGGAAUAUAUAGGAAAAAUCUUUAAAAAUCUUCUCAAGAACCAUUGGGACAGGAAAAAUGAAACUCAUGUUGAAUCAUCCUCAGGUAGUGUACAUUCAAGUUUGUUCAAAUCGUGACCCCCCUGGGUAGCCACAAUGGCCAAUCAAAAUUUUACAUAGGAAUAUACCGGGUAAAGGUAAAAUUUCAAAAAAUUUUCUUCUCAAGAUCCAUAGGGACAGGAAAGAUGAAACUUAUGUUGAAUCAUCCUUAGGUAGUGUACAUUCAAAUUUCUUCAAUUCAUGACCCCUUGGGGUUGGGGUAGGCCACAGUGGCUGAUUAAAGUUUUACAUAGGAAUAUAAAGGGAAAUCUUUAAAAAAAAAUUCUCAAGUACUGAUAUUUAUGUGGAAGCAUCCUUGGGAAGUGUAGAUUCUAGUUUGUUCAAAUCAUAACCCCCUGGGAAUAGGGUGGGGCCACAAUGGGGGAUCCAAGUUUUACAUUAGAAUAUAUUUUAAAAAUCUUCUAAAGAAUAGCAAAGCCAUGAUUAGUGAUAUUUAUAUGAAACAUCCUCAGGUAUUGUAGA